AUUGAACGCUGGCGGCAGGCCUAACACAUGCAAGUCGAGCGGAUGAAGGGAGCUUGCUCCUGGAUUCAGCGGCGGACGGGUGAGUAAUGCCUAGGAAUCUGCCUGGUAGUGGGGGAUAACGUCCGGAAACGGGCGCUAAUACCGCAUACGUCCUGAGGGAGAAAGUGGGGGAUCUUCGGGCCUCACGCUAUCAGAUGAGCCUAGGUCGGAUUAGCUAGUUGGUGGGGUAAAGGCCUACCAAGGCGACGAUCCGUAACUGGUCUGAGAGGAUGAUCAGACACACUGGAACUGAGACACGGUCCAGACUCCUACGGGAGGCAGCAGUGGGGAAUAUUGGACAAUGGGCGAAAGCCUGAUCCAGCCAUGCCGCGUGUGUGAAGAAGGUCUUCGGAUUGUAAAGCACUUUAAGUUGGGAGGAAGGGCAGUAAGUUAAUACCUUGCUGUUUUGACGUUACCAACAGAAUAAGCACCGGCUAACUUCGUG
rnacentral:rRNA from 1 species